rnacentral:rRNA from 1 species
UCCUCCCUCUGGCGGCGUGCCUAAUACAUGCAAGUAGAACGCUGAAGGAGGAGCUUGCUUCUCCGGGUGAGUUGCGAACGGGUGAGUAACGCGUAGGUAACCUGCCUGGUAGCGGGGGAUAACUAUUGGAAACGAUAGCUAAUACCGCAUAACAGUAGAUGUUGCAUGACAUUUGCUUAAAAGGUGCAAUUGCAUCACUACCAGAUGGACCUGCGUUGUAUUAGCUAGUUGGUGAGGUAACGGCUCACCAAGGCGACGAUACAUAGCCGACCUGAGAGGGUGAUCGGCCACACUGGGACGGAGACACGGCCCAGACUCCUACGGGAGGCGGCAGUAGGGAAUCUUCGGCAAUGGACGGAAGUCUGACCGAGCAACGCCGCGUGAGUGAAGAAGGUUGUCGGAUCGUAAAGCUCUGUUGUAAGAGAAGAACGAGUGUGAGAGUGGAAAGUUCACACUGUGACGGUAUCUUACCAGAAAGGGACGGCUAACUACGUG